AUCAAAAACAUCACCUCUAGCAUAACUAGUAUUAGAGGCACUGCCUGCCCAGUGACAAUCGUUAAACGGCCGCGGUAUCUUGACCGUGCAAAGGUAGCAUAAUCACUUGUUCUCUAAAUAAGGACUUGUAUGAAUGGCCACACGAGGGUUUUACUGUCUCUUACUCCUAAUCAGUGAAAUUGACCUCCCCGUGAAGAGGCGGGGAUAAUACAAUAAGACGAGAAGACCCUAUGGAGCUUUAAUUAAUCAACUCAAAAAGCAUAAAAUAAUACCACCAAGGGAUAACAAAGCUUUAGAUGAGCUGACAAUUUCGGUUGGGGUGACCUCGGAGUAUAAAAAACCCUCCGAGUGAUUAAAACUUAGGCCUACCAGCCAAAGUAUAGUAUCACUUAUUGAUCCAAAAUUUUGAUCAACGGAACAAGUUACCCUAGGGAUAACAGCGCAAUCCUAUUCUAGAGUCCAUAUCGACAAUAGGGUUUACGACCUCGAUGUUGGAUCAGGACAUCCUAAUGGUGCAGCAGCUAUUAAGGGUUCGUUUGUUCAACGAUUAAAGUCCUACGUGAUCUGAGUUC
rnacentral:rRNA from 1 species